ACAGCUCCACAAGUUUGAAGAAGUGGGGACUGUCUGCAAGAAAAGUUAAACCAGAAACUGUGCCAACAACACAACCAGCAAAAGCGAAUUGUCAGGCUGAAACUGUACAUCAUACAAAUGGAAACAGAGGUGGAGACUUUAAGAUUCACGUAGGAAUGAUGCUCAGAUGGGAGAAAAUAUAAGAACUAAGGGAAAGUUUUUUCCAUUCUCAUGUGGAAGGAGAUUAUGGCAGGCAUCAUCUCAUAACUACUUCUUCUAUCUGUCACUCUAUUGCCUGUUCUGCUGUUGCUGGAACUGGACCAACAAUGGUAAGUUAUCACUUUAUUCUUUUACCAGCAUGGUGAGCUAAUGUUUGUGUUUGAUGUAUCUUACUUAAAACACAAUUUAAUUCGUUAAACUGGAAUCCUCAAGAACCUCACUUACAUGCCACAUAACCCUAAGCUCUGA
rnacentral:lncRNA from 1 species